GCCCUUCUGCUUAGCUUGUUGACAGAAGUAAUCAGACUUCUCCACAAAUGCUGAGCUCCUGGGAAUGAACUAGACCAUUGCAUCUUCAUCUUAGCAUCAUCAGAGCCUUGAAGUUCAGUGCAACAGAAAGUGACAUGGUGGUAAUCCUGGAGCUAGCAAUGACAUCUUUGGGUGCCACUCAGCCUGCCGCAGGACACCGGCUCAUCCCUGUGGUGACCAGCUUUGGAAAUCAAGAAGGAACAGGGACAGGGUGUAUGGUUUGACCUCAGCUCCCUGUUCACCUCUCUCCAGGACAAAUGCCAGAUUUUCUUGAAGGUACCCCAACCUCCACCUGAGAGACACCCCACUCCAUCUUCCCUGGGCACUAGAAAGCUUCUCUUCUUGCCAGGAACUAGUUCAAACCUUUGAAUGGGUCCCAGCUAUACAUGCUA
rnacentral:lncRNA from 1 species